AAGACUAUAGACCUGCGGAGUACCUGCGGAGGGAUCAUUAUCAAUUUACAGCGGACUUCGGUCCUGUCUGCACCCUUGUCUUUUGCGUACUAUAUGUUUCCUCGGUGGGCUUGCCUGCCGAUAGGACACUUAUAAACUCUUUUGUAAUUGCAAUCAGCGUCAGAAAACUAUAAUAGUUACAACUUUCAACAACGGAUCUCU
rnacentral:misc_RNA from 1 species